rnacentral:tRNA from 1 species
CAAAUUAUUCUUAAGUGAGAAUUUCAUUUACAUUGAAAUUUGUUAUUGUGUAAAUCAAUAUAAUUUGA